rnacentral:rRNA from 1 species
GGACUACCGGGGUAUCUAAUCCUGUUUGAUCCCCACGCUUUCGCGCCUCAGUGUCAGUAUUGGUCCAGGUAGUCGUCUUCACCACUGGCGUUCCUUCCGAUCUCUACGCAUUUCACCGCUACACCGGAAAUUCCACUACCCUCUACCAUACUCUAGUUAAGCAGUUUAAGAUGCACUUCCCAGGUUAAGCCCAGGGCUUUCACAUCUUACUUGCUUUACCACCUACGCGCCCUUUACGCCCAGUAAAUCCGAUUAACGCUCGCACCCUCUGUAUUACCGCGGCUGCUGGCAC